AUGAACGCUGACAGAAUGCUUAACACAUGCAAGUCAACUUGAACUUCGGUUUGGGUGGCGGACGGGUGAGUAACGCGUAAAGAACUUGCCUCACAGCUAGGGACAACAUUUGGAAACGAAUGCUAAUACCUGAUAUUAUGAUUUUAGGGCAUCCUAGAAUUAUGAAAGCUAUAUGCGCUGUGAGAGAGCUUUGCGUCCCAUUAGCUAGUUGGAGAGGUAACGGCUCACCAAGGCGAUGAUGGGUAGCCGGCCUGAGAGGGUGAACGGCCACAAGGGGACUGAGACACGGCCCUUACGCCUACGGGAGGCAGCAGUGGGGAAUAUUGGACAAUGGACCAAGAGUCUGAUCCAGCAAUUCUGUGUGCACGAUGAAGUUUUUCGGAAUGUAAAGUGCUUUCAGUUUGGAAGAAAAAAAUGACGGUACCAACAGAAGAAGGGACGGCUAAAUACGUG
rnacentral:rRNA from 1 species